UUCAAUUCCAAUACCUUGAUCAGGAAAUUGUAUCUAAGUUGGUAGUUGCUCCAUUACCUAUGGAAAAUCUGGUCCCAACACAACCAAUUUUCUGUCGUUGAUGUUAAUGGUUCACAAUACAAUUCUAAUUACAUACAGCAUACACAAACAUAUAAUUAUCAAUCCCAAACCAGAAUGCCUAAACGUCACGGGAAGCAAGUUAUUGGCUCUGUUCAACUCUCCAG